rnacentral:piRNA from 1 species
UCCAAAAUGUCCGCAGCACGAGGGUAGU